UGGUAGACACCUUUAUCUGCUGAGC
rnacentral:piRNA from 1 species